ensembl:lncRNA
GAAAUGCUGAAUACAACAGGUGUAGUAGACCUUACAGUGAAAUGCUGAAUACAACAGGUGUAGUAGACCUUACAGUGAAAUGCUGAAUACAACAGGUGUAGUAGACCUUACAGUGAAAUGCCGAAUACAACAGGUGUAGUAGACCUCACAGUGAAAUGCUGAAUACAACAGGUGUAGUAGACCUUACAGUGAAAUGCUGAAUAUACAGUAGAGAGGCUAUAUACAGUAGAGAGGCUAUAUACAGUAGAGAGGCUACAUACAGUAGAGAGGCUAUAUACAGGAGAGGCUAUAUACAGUAGAGGGGCUAUAUACAGUAGAGGCUAUAUACAGUAGAGAGGCUAUAUACAGUAGAGAGGCUAUAUACAGUAGAGAGGCUAUAUACAGUAGAGAGGCUAUAUACAGUAGAGAGACUAUAUACAGUAGAGGCUAUAUACAGUAGUGAGUCUAUAUACAGUAGAGAGGCUAUAUACAGUAGAGGCUAUGUACAGUAGAGGGGCUAUAUACAGUAGAGGCUAUAUACAGUAGAGAGGCUAUAUACAGUAGUGAGUCUAUAUACAGUAGAGAGGCUAUAUACAGUAGAGAGGCUAUAUACAGUGGAGAGGCUAUAUACAGUAGUGAGGCUAUAUACAGUAGAGAGUCUAUAUACAGUAGAGAGGCUAUAUACAGUAGAGAGGCUAUAUACAGUAGAGAGGCUAUAUACAGUAGAGGGGCUAUAUACAGUAGAGGCUAUAUACAGUAGUGAGGCUCUAUACAGUAGAGAGUCUAUAUACAGUAGAGAGGCUAUAUACAGUAGAGAGGCUAUAUACAGUAGAGAGGCUAUAUACAGUAGAGAGGCUAUAUACAGUAGAGAGGCUAUAUACAGUAGGUGUGUAAUGUUUACUGUCUGUUUAUUUAACUUGCUUUGGGAAUGUAAACAUGUGUCCCACGCCAAUAAAGGCCUUUAGAAUUACAUGGCUGCAGCAUUGUCGGCUGUCCGUUCAACUGAGUGUUUCUGGCGCCACCUGCCGGCUGUUUGAGAGAAGACACGCUGGGAUCCGACAUUGCCGCUUGUCUAACUGUCAUUGGAUGGGAUUUUGAAUGAUUAAGCCUGACUGGGUACAUCCACUGUCAAUCAAAUGAAACCGGAAGAAAUAAAGGUUCCAUAUGAAAUCAAUGUGUACGGACAGCGGUGUGUCCUUACCGAGCCGUUACGCCAUGCCAACUUCCCCGGUAAAGACGCGGAUCCCGCUCACGAGCUUCGGUCAUCUGAUCACCGAGGUGAAGAGACAGUUGUUUGGUAUGGAGGCUCCAGCCACUGUUAACCUGACUGGAUGGAGGAGACAUUUCAACAGCUACACACUACAGGGGAGACGCAACUUUGUCCUGGCUACCUAUGGUGUCCUAGCGUUGUCGGCAGCAGCCUAUAUGAUACGCCAUCGGAGUAAAGAGGACCCAAGAGUAGCCAGCCCCACUGCCUGACUGAAAAGACUGACACCCUCAAUAUCAAUGUCCCAACGCUUUAUUGGCCUGAUAUUGACAUUGAUUUCCAAUACUACCGAAUCAGAGAUUCAUAACAGCAGCACUCCCCCUUUCUUCUGCUCCCUCCCUCCCUCUCUCUUCCCCUCUCUCUAUCCCACCCCUCUCUUCCUCUCUCUCUCUACUGUGUCUCUCUCUACUGUGUGUCUCUCUCUCUCUCUCUACUGUCUCUCUCUCUCUCUUCCUCUCUCUCUCUACUCUACUCUCUCUCUCUCUCUCUUCUCUCUCUCUCUACUGUGUGUCUCUCUCUACUGUGUGUCUCUCUCUACUGUGUGUCUCUCUCUCUCUCUACUGUGUGUCUCUCUCUACUGUGUGUCUCUCUCUACUGUGUGUCUCUCUCUACUGUGUGUCUCUCUCUCUCUCUACUGUGUGUCUCUCUCUACUGUGUGUCUCUCUCUACUGUCUCUCUCUCUCUCUCUUCCUCUCUCUCUCUACUGUCUCUCUCUCUCUCUCUUCCUCUCUCUCUCUACUGUGUGUCUCUCUCUACUGUGUGUCUCUCUCUCUCUACUGUGUGUCUCUCUCUACUGUGUGUCUCUCUCUACUGUGUGUCUCUCUCUACUGUCUCUCUCUCUCUCUCUUCCUCUCUCUCUCUACUGUGUCUCUCUCUACUGUCUCUCUCUCUCUCUCUACUGUCUCUCUCUCUCUACUGUGUGUCUCUCUCUACUGUGUGUCUCUCUCUACUGUCUCUCUCUCUCUCUUCCUCUCUCUCUCUACUGUGUCUCUCUCUACUGUGUGUCUCUCUCUACUGUCUCUCUCUCUCUCUCUUCCUCUCUCUCUCUACUGUGUCUCUCUCUCUCUCUUCUCUCUCUCUCU